AGUGGGGAAUAUUGGACAAUGGGCGAAAGCCUGAUCCAGCCAUGCCGCGUGUGUGAAGAAGGUCUUCGGAUUGUAAAGCACUUUAAGUUGGGAGGAAGGGCAGUUACCUAAUACGUGAUUGUUUUGACGUUACCGACAGAAUAAGCACCGGCUAACUCUGUGCCAGCAGCCGCGGUAAUACAGAGGGUGCAAGCGUUAAUCGGAAUUACUGGGCGUAAAGCGCGCGUAGGUGGUUAGUUAAGUUGGAUGUGAAAUCCCCGGGCUCAACCUGGGAACUGCAUUCAAAACUGACUGACUAGAGUAUGGUAGAGGGUGGUGGAAUUUCCUGUGUAGCGGUGAAAUGCGUAGAUAUAGGAAGGAACACCAGUGGCGAAGGCGACCACCUGGACUGAUACUGACACUGAGGUGCGAAAGCGUGGGGAGCAAACAGGAU
rnacentral:rRNA from 1 species